AAUGGCGGCAUUGUUUUCCUCCUACAGAGGUGUGUCUCUAGGAGUCUUGCAGAGAAAUACCUGACUGGUGAACACAAACAUGGAGAGCAGAGCCAGUUAGCAGGAGAGGGUGACAACAUAAUGAGACCAGGAACCACUUUGACAUCAACAGGCCGUCUUCAGAGACUGUCACUUUGGUAGGAGUCACACCCCUGUAAUCUGUCACUUGGAAGAGGGAUCUGAUGCAGGUGACUCCUGUGAAGGGAUCAUUCGUCCCAAGAGGCUGAGACCCCAAGUUGAGAACUGCUGCUUUGUAGUCCAGAGAUCAUCUCACUUUUCCUCAGUUCUGUGUGAUAACACAAAACUCAGGGUGCUAUCUGACCCUGAAUCUGUGACAGCAUCUUCUUACUCUGCAGUUAGUUUCAUGUCACGUUGUAGCAUGAGACCCUUUCCUAAGUAGAGACUGAAUCAAAGUAUUUUAAAAGUUUGGUAAAGAUGGAAAAGUCAGACAUGGCACCUUGGAUUGUUAAUGGGAAUUGGUACAGAUGUCAACGUGUGAGCAUCAGGGAAGCUUCUGGUCAAGAGGCAGCAGAGAGCAAAACCCUCAGCAAGAACCAGAGCCCCUGAGGUUUCUUAAGAGGUCCGCACUCCGGUAGGAAUCCCUGGGAGCCAGACACCCCAGUAACAAUCAUUGUGUAACUGUAAAUGCUUAUACUCAGGGGCUCUCCGUGCGCAGAGUCGAGAAUAUGAUGCCAGGAGUCAUCAAAGAUGACCAGAUCCCUCCCAAGCAGCACAUAAACAAAGUGAAGUGGAAAAUGAAACAGAAAACGUGCGUGAUAACCCUUCGCAGAAGACCAACUCAUGAAAGGGCGUUUAGUCCAAAUGGGAGAACCUGUGCCAAAAUCUUAAGGGAGGCAGGCUGAGCCAAAUUAGAACAGAGUCAAACAUUUGUCAUACCUUUGUAAUUCACACAGCAGCCUUCUCAGCUCGAUCACAAGCUGUCCAGAUGUUAGCCAUUCGACUCUUUAUAGCCAUGGUCUGUUUUUUCUUAAAAGACCCACUUCCUCCUCAGAGUUCCCAGACACAUGGCGUUUCUCUGGUGUUGAAACCCAGACUGAGUAAAGAAGAACGAAUCUUCUUCUCAAUUUGCAGGAAAAUCUCUCUCUUUCAGGAGAAACAUUUUGAGACCUCAGAUUCUUUGAUUAAAUUUACACUGUAGCAAGGAAAUUUAGCCAUGGAAUUGGCUAAAUAAUAAAUGUGAAGUCAGGCAGGCCUAGACUGGAGUUUUUGACAAAAUGCUUGUGGGUCCCUUGAGCAAGCCAAGUAAGUGACUUAAUUGCUCUGUAGCAAUUCAGUGGAGCUAUUCCUCAGUCUCUCCCAUGGCAAAAUGCAGAUAAUAAUACUGACCUCAAAGUACUAAAAGGAUCAUGUACAUCAAACACUGACCAUACUUCGCAGUACAUACAAUAUGUGUCAGUUGUUUUGUUUAAAAUCUGCUUUUUUUCUCCUUUGAGUUCCACAGACAAAAGCUCCCAAGACAGGGAUAGGUAACUGUAGAGUCUUUUUAUAUCAAUCCAUUGAUGAGUCUGCUGUUUAUUAAAUACUGGCUUCAAAACAGAAUGCAGCUGCCCUUUAGAUCUGAAGAUGACAUCUGAAUAUGCCAGUGCCUGAACUGACAGCUGAGUGUGGUCGAAUGGCCAGGUUAAUACCAUCUCAUGCCAGAAGUCAGUUUCUCAACUCAGUCCAUGACUAACCUCAUCCACUCUCCACUAAGAGAAUGCUUGUCCAAAACUGAGGAAAAAUCUGGAACAUAUAAACUCUCAAACGGACGGUGGAGAGAGAACCUGGUGGUUACGUUAAAUUCUUCAUGCAGAGGACCUAAGUUCAGUUGUUAGAACCCAGGAAGAGAGGCUCCCAAAUGCCUACAAUCCCAACUUCAGUAGGGUCCAAGGCCUCUGUUCUUCACAGCACCAGCAUUCACAGGAAACAAGCACAUUUAUGUAAUUAAAAACAAACAAGCAAACAAAUCGAAAGGAGACACCUCCACAUCAUCCCUAUAGACCAGAAGCAUGAGUGGUUAGUGGGGUUCAAGCAAAAAGUGUGCCAACUGUGUCCCAGAUCACAGUUCAAGCAAAAUAGGUCACUAUGCAGUAAGUUUGCUUUCAUUUAAACACAAAAAUACAAGUAAAUCACUCAUUUCUUUUAUCAAAACAAAAGUAAGCAGAACAAAGAAAAAUAGUAAUAGUGCUCCCUCUAAAUGUAAGUAAGGUAGCAGUAUGAUUUAGAGGAAUCUGGAGAGGCCCUCUCCACAGUAAGUAGAAUCUUGGCCUCUGCUGACGUGGAAUGUCAACACGUUUGAUGGACAGCAUAAAAUUUGACAGCUCUCAACAUGAUCUUAUCCAGUGACAGGUGUGGCAUAACAACAGCUGUGACCGUUUUAGGGAAUGGAAAAGUAAUUAGUGGCUGACACCCAAUGCUGGAAAACAUUUGUGUCGAUUGCAAAAAUACAACAAAAUGCAAUAGCAUCUCUUUCUCACGUUUUCAUGUAUAUGGGUAAAAAAACAUCUGAGGUAGCUCCUGUAUCCGGCUACUUAAUUUUUAUUUUCUAAAAUAAUGCUGACACCUGGAUGCUGCCCCAAAGGUGUGUCUUGUGAAGCCCAGAAGAUACCUUAUAACAUUCCCUAGGGGACUGCUCCCUGAACUGUAGUGCUAUUGUGUGGCACUGUUAGCUCUUAGGGCUUGAUUCUUUAUCUGACCUUUAAAACAAUUACUUAUUCUCAACGUAGGGGUGUGUGUGUGUGUGUGUGUGUGUGUGUGUGUGUGUGUGUGCACGUACACGAGUGCACGCACGUGCGCCUGUGUGGGAGCUUGUGCACAAGAAUGAAGGCUCCUGAGAAGGGUGUCAGAUCCUCUGGAGCUGGAGUACAGACUAUUGUGAGCCACCUGGUUUGGGUGCUGGGAACUGAACUUGAAUCCUCCACAAGGACAGCUUGUGCUUUUAGCCUAUUCAGUCCCAGAUCUGACCUUUAUGCAAGAUUAGACCAGAGUAUUUGUGACUGACCAUUUGUGUGCACUGUUAAAAAUAGAUGACAAAUGCCAAACCAGACAACAAUUAUUGCUCCCAGAGAACUGCUGUAAAUAGCUCAAGUAAAUCAAACUUGUCUAAUAAGUAGUUAUCAGGUUUUUGCCCCAUAAAAGGUACUGUUUUAUAUGUGUGCAAUAGAGAAUAACUACAAGAGAAAAAUAUAUCUGUUCAUCUGAAGGUGACAUGUUAGGAGUGGGAAGCUGCAAAAAUACGUAGAAUGUUAGAAAGUAAUAAUCACAGGAAAAGGAAUGGAGAUGGUGAUUGCAAGAAUGUGUGUAUAUACAUGAGUGCAUGUGUCAGUUUUACAUAGGGUCAUAGGGGAUGCCUUUCUGCAAUUGCAUUUGAUCAAAGACUUGAAGGAGUUAGAGAAGCAGCAUUGCUGAUAUCUGGUAUGGGGAACUGCUAGGAAGAGAAAAUGCUAGGAAGAGAUGUUGGUAUGAGUUUCCUAUAGCUGCUGUCAAGUGACAAUAAACUCGUUGAAAC